rnacentral:rRNA from 1 species
GACGAACGCUGGCGGCGUGCUUAACACAUGCAAGUCGAACGGAAAGGCCCUGCUUUUGUGGGGUGCUCGAGUGGCGAACGGGUGAGUAACACGUGAGUAACCUGCCCUUGACUUUGGGAUAACUUCAGGAAACUGGGGCUAAUACCGGAUAGGAGCUCCUGCUGCAUGGUGGGGGUUGGAAAGUUUCGGCGGUUGGGGAUGGACUCGCGGCUUAUCAGCUUGUUGGUGGGGUAGUGGCUUACCAAGGCUUUGACGGGUAGCCGGCCUGGGAGGGUGACCGGCCACAAGGGGACUGAGGUAGGCCCCAGACUCCUACGGGAGGCAGCAGUGGGGAACAUUGCACAAUGGGCGGAAGCCUGAGGCAGCAACGCCGCGUGCGUGAUGACGGCCUUCGGGUGGUAAACCGCUUUCGCCUGUGACGAAGCGUGAGUGACGGUAAUGGGUAAAGAAGCACCGGCUAACUACGUG